AUCUGACUACUCUAGGUACCUCAGAUGAGUGGAAUUAUGCAGUAUUUGUCCUUUUGUGUGUACAACUAAUUUGACAGGCAGUAUGAUAAGGAACAAUCUGAAUGACACGUAAACAGGAGGGGGUAAAUUCCAAGCACAGCCUGAAUGAGAAGUACAACUCAUUUCCUGUAACCUAGAUGCCUUUUUAACACAUCUAUGCAGUCUCCAUGUGAAACCAGGUGCUGUUCCCAAAGGAGAAAACACUGCCCUCCAGUGGUCUUCAAUGAAGAAAUGGAAAUAGUUUCAGGUGGAAACCAGGCUUCUUGGAAGACUUCAAACUAUGCCAAAUGGUCUGAUUUCACCAUAGAGAUUCUUUGCUGAAGAAUGCAGCUGUAUUAAAGGAAGAAAGAAAACCAAGCUACAGCUCCUUAUAAUUCAACAAGCAUUUAAAAGAUUUAUAAAGAUGGUGCAAUUAUGUAUUUAAGCUGCUUCAACACAAGUUCUUGCCUUUCACUCCCACCCUGUGGCUUACACUGGUAUUACAUCUAUUCUGACAUUUAAAAAUCAACAUUAAAGAACAUAUUGUAAUAAUGUAAAAAAAAAAAAAAA
rnacentral:lncRNA from 1 species